rnacentral:rRNA from 1 species
UGGGGAAUAUUGGACAAUGGGGGCAACCCUGAUCCAGCAAUGCCGCGUGUGUGAAGAAGGUCUUCGGAUUGUAAAGCACUUUCGACGGGGACGAUGAUGACGGUACCCGUAGAAGAAGCCCCGGCUAACUUCGUGCCAGCAGCCGCGGUAAUACGAAGGGGGCUAGCGUUGCUCGGAAUGACUGGGCGUAAAGGGCGUGUAGGCGGUUUACACAGUCAGAUGUGAAAUCCCCGGGCUUAACCUGGGAGCUGCAUUUGAUACGUGUAGACUAGAGUGUGAGAGAGGGUUUGUGGAAUUCCCAGUGUAGAGGUGAAAUUCGUAGA